GAGCGAGGGAGAGGAGAGAGUGAGAGGGGCAGCGAAUGAGAGCGCAAGGCAAAGGCAGGGAAACAGCGCCAGAGGAGACGAGGGAGAAGUGGACAGUUCUGUACAGGGACGCGGUUAAAGAUCAAAACACUGGCACCUAUGAUCUGGUUUCUAAUGGAAAGGCUUGGCUAACAGCGAAACUUGAGCAGCUGCAGCAAUCUUCAACUCUCCAAGGCCAGCAUUAACAAAAGCUAUAGUUCUUCAUCUAUCACAGCCUGGUUUAAGGCAGAAAGCCAGCAUUUGCCGCUUCCCACCUCUUUCCUGGAGACUCCUGGUUGUAAUAGACGGUAAUGGCCUAAGACAAAUCAACCCGUUCCUUGUAAAAAUAGCAGCAAAUAACCCCUGACUUUACGUCAUGAGUGCAACUGAAGAGAUUCUCGAUUCCGAAGGCCUCUUUCACAGUGGGCAUUAACCCUGGAUGGAGGCUCGGGCUGUGCCUAAAUAAAGCCACGAGUCUGGAAUACUUACAGCUUCAUCUCAUGACUCAGGAUGGAUUGGCUCCUGCUGUCAAGUCAUGUGUUCCCUCUGGACGAAACAAUGGUUUUCAGUGGUUCUUACAUCCUUAAGUGGCUUCAAAAAGCACCUAAAAUCAAUGACGAGGAAGCAGAGAGAGAGAGAGAGAGAGAGAGAGAGAGAGAGAGAGAGAGAGAGAGAGAGCUUUGAGUCUACAGUUUGUGAAGAGGCUAACAGUGGCAGUAAGAGACUUCCUGUAGCGUGAUUGAUGAGAAGCCAUUUCCGUGCUUCUCCUUUGCAGACAGCGCCCAGCUCGCCUCUGCUGCCGCAGCAUCUAAAGGGCUCUCUCCGAGGAGAAGGCUUUUCUUCAAGCCAUCAAAUGGAGCGUCCCAGCCCGGAACAAAGCCAGUCGCUGGUGUGGGUGAGUGGAGAGAGAGGACUUGCCCACCUGUGUGAGACUAAGGCCUGAAGAAAGAACAAGAAGUGCAUGUUACAUGCAUUAGGCAUUCUUGCAUCCUCAGUAAGGCUUUUUUUAAUGUAUGAAUGCCUGAAAAAAUUACCAUUCAAAACAAGUUUUUGAGAUGCAUUGCAAAAAGAUGCAAUUAAACACACAACCACAACCCACAUCCAAAUUAAGGACAUCUACAAGGCAAAAAACCCAGGCAUUUAUCCAGCAUACUACCAGCAUCUACUUCCAAUUUUAAUCUAAACUCCACCCAUGUGGCCCAGUGGGUGUUACAACCUCUAUUACAAUACAUUUCAACACAUUUCACAAUACUUUAAAACAAAAUUAGUAAACAAAAGACUGAGUCAUUGUGUCAUUAUCCAAAGAAACUUGUAGUAAAUGUGCUAUAAAUAAAAUUUUACUAAACACUGCCUAUGACACUUAUAGACAUUAUUACAUCUGAGUUUUAAGGCUUUCCGAUCCUAAAAUAUCUAUUCACAAUAAUUGUGGUAAAAUAAUUAUUUAAUAAGCUGUAUUAAAGAAGCACAAUGCUGAUUGGUCGUCAGUUGCUGAGAGUCCUAGAAAAAGCACAGUUGCCACUAAUUGUUCAGCGUUGGCAUUCCUGUCUCCCCAACUGAAUAAAGUAACACUAAACAUU